rnacentral:misc_RNA from 1 species
GACAUGUCCAUUAUCUCCUACGACAACGCUCACCAGGACAAGGCCACGUGGCGCACCGACGAGGAGGUCAACUCCUUGUACGAGGAGUGGCUCGUCAAGCACGGCAAACUGUACAACGCGCUCGGGGAGAAGGAUAAGAGGUUUCAGAUCUUCAAAGACAACCUGCGAUUCAUCGACCAGCAAAACGCCGAGAACCGAACCUACAAGUUGGGACUGAACCGGUUUGCGGAUCUGACCAACGAGGAGUACAGGGCUAGGUACUUGGGAACGAAGAUCGACCCGAACCGGAGGUUGGGAAGGACCCCGAGCAACCGUUACGCGCCACGUGUCGGGGAAACA